rnacentral:rRNA from 1 species
GACGAACGCUGGCGGCGUGCUUAACACAUGCAAGUCGAACGGAAAGGCCCUGCUUUUGUGGGGUGCUCGAGUGGCGAAUGGGUGAGUAACACGCGAGUAACCUGCCCUUGACUUUGGGAUAACUUCAGGAAACUGGGGCUAAUACCGGAUAGGAGCUCCUGCUGCAUGGUGGGGGUUGGAAAGUUUCGGCGGUUGGGGAUGGACUCGCGGCUUAUCAGCUUGUUGGUGGGGUAGUGGCUUACCAAGGCUUUGACGGGUAGCCGGCCUGAGAGGGUGACCGGCCACAUUGGGACUGAGAUACGGCCCAGACUCCUACGGGAGGCAGCAGUGGGGAAUAUUGCACAAUGGGCGGAAGCCUGAUGCAGCAACGCCGCGUGCGGGAUGACGGCCUUCGGGUUGUAAACCGCUUUCGCCUGUGACGAAGCGUGAGUGACGGUAAUGGGUAAAGAAGCACCGGCUAACUACGUG